rnacentral:rRNA from 1 species
AAUGAACGCUGGCGGCAGGCCUAACACAUGCAAGUCGAACGCUGUCGCGGGGGAAGUGCCUCAGGGGUGAGUAACACGUGGGAAUCUUCCUAUCUCUACGGAAUAGCUCACGGAAACUUGGGGUAAUACCGCCUACGCCCUUCGGGGGAAAGAAUUAUCGGCGAAAGAUGAGGGCGCGUCUGAUUUCCUAGUUGGGGAUGAAAUGGUUCACCAUUGCGACGAUGGGGGGCUGGCCUGACAGGAUGACCACCCUCCCUGGGACUGAUACACGGACCAUACUCCUACGGGAGGCAGCAAUGGGGAAUAUAGGACUGUGGGGGCAAGCCUGAUCCAACCUUGCUGCGUGAGUGACAAAGGGCUUCGGAUUGUAAAGCUCUUUUGGCAGGGACUAUAAUGACGGUACCCCUUUAAUAAGCCCCGGCUAACUUCGUGCCAACAGCCGGGGUAAUACAAAGGGGGCUAGCAUUGUUCGGAAUUACUGUUCGUGAAGUGCACCUAGGCGGAUUUGUAGGUUAGGGGUGAAAUCCCAGGGCUCAACCUCAAAACUGGCUUUGAUACUGGCUUUCUCCCGUCCUGAAGAGGUGAGUGGAAUUCCUAGUGUGGAGGUGAAAUUUGGAGAUAUUAAGAGGAACACAAGAGGCCAAAGCUGCUCGCUGGUCCGGUACUGACGCUGAGAUGCGAAAGAAUGGGGAGCAAACAGGAUUACAUACCCUGCAAGUCCACGCCUUAAACUAUGGAUGCUAGGCAGCAGCCAGGAUGCUAGUCCGUGGUGCAGCUAACGCUAUUAAGCAUCCAACCUGAGGAGUACGGCCACUAGGCUAACACUCUAAUGAAUUGACCGUG